UUAUGAUUUCUGUUUUCCUAAAAGCGUAAUAAUGGAUUCCCAAGACUUGCUGAUCCUCAUGGCCUUUAGUGAAGUUUGCCAUGACCUCCAACGCCUCACCAACGGACUCCUGAAAAUGCUCCGGACACAAACAGUUGCUGAAAGCCCCUCGGAAGGACCCGCCCAUCCUAACAUCUCCAUCCUGCAAGUCUUCCAGCACCAGCUCCUGCACAGGGAUCGGCUGCCGGUAAACCUGGGUAUUUGACCAGGCGACUUCGAGGAAUAUCUAAGAAGCUCCAGAGAUCUAGUUUUCGACUGAAAGGAGACUCAAGACAUCGUUGGAGAAAGUCUUGGACUCUUGGAUCUUGUUUCUUUUGAUCAAGGAGAGCUUUCGCUGCGAGCUGGUUACUACAGUAGACUUUGUAGGCAUUCAAGCCUGGCAACUGUGGAGAAAUUAAAGGGAAACAAAGAUGAAGUCCUGUUAUGAUUUGGUCCAUUAAUAAACCUAUAACUGUGAAACAAAAAUCCACAACUAAUCCUGAGAAUAUUAAAGUCAGCUCUGGAAAUGCUCUGCACGUGAUUAUGGGAGGGGGAGAGUACUCUGGGCUAACCCGAAACACCUUUUUCUAAUUUACUCCACUAAAGACUCCUGACUCCUCCUCCUGCCAUCUCAGUUUAGUUACGGGCUCAUCUUCGGAAUUCCCAAUGCACUGAACAUGUUCUUCCUCCAUCAAAACCAUUGCUCCCUCAGACUGUUUAUUUACCUGUCCUUGUCUCACAAAAUGUUAACUGCCAUGGGCAGAGGUUGUCCUUCACCACUGACUCCCUAGGUCUUAGAUCAAGGCCUAGCACCUGGUCCUUAAAUGUCAAUCGCAAGAAUGAAACAAAUAAUUAGUGGCAUGUAAUAUGGAUUUCUGCUCAAGGAAAUACAUGUAAAACAAAUAAAACACUACCACUCACAAA